GUUUUAUAUUAACUAACUCGUUGUGAUAG
rnacentral:sRNA from 1 species